rnacentral:lncRNA from 1 species
CUGGGGCCGAAUCUGAAAGGUCUGUCUCCCAGCGGUGAAGUCGCAGUGCUCCAGCUCUUUCGAUACUCUUCUCGUUCAGCUUUCUUUUUCCGAAGUGGAGCAGGUACAUAGAAAGUCUGAUUGCUCUUGUUUGGGAGGUACUGGUUAAAAGGCACAGCUGAUUUAGGUUCACCGUGUGAGGUCCGCCUCGCCAACAUAUCAUCUUUUUUCACAUCUGGCAUCUUUCUGUGUGGCAGGUCAGUUUCUGAGUCACUUCCUCUCCCAUCACUGCUUCCCCUGAGCACUACAUCUGGGGACGGUGUCUGCUGCGAGCGGGAGCCAAAGGAGUCCAGACUGUCAAAGGAAUCAUCUCUGCCGUGGCGCGGGGGGGAGAGGGAAUCACUGCGCUCCGAGUCCCAGCAGUCUAUGUAGCCGCUGUCCCGAAUGCUGCGCUUUGGGCUCUCGAUAUCCUCUGUUU